GACGAACGCUGGCGGCGUGCUUAACACAUGCAAGUCGAACGGAAAGGCCCUGCUUUUGUGGGUGCUCGAGUGGCGAACGGGUGAGUAACCCGUGAGUAACCCGCCCUUGACUUUGGGAUAAACUUAGGAAAAUGGGGGUUAUACCCGAUAGGAUCUCCUUCUGCAUGGGGGGGGUUGGAAAGUUUCGGCGGUUGGGGAUGGACUCGCGGCUUAUCAGGUUGUUGGUGGGGUAGUGGCUUACCAAGGCUUUGACGGGUAGCCGGCCUGAGAGGGUGACCGGCCACAUUGGGACUGAGAUACGGCCCAGACUCCUACGGGAGGCAGCAGUGGGGAAUAUUGCACAAUGGGCGGAAGCCUGAUGCAGCAACGCCGCGUGCGGGAUGACGGCCUUCGGGUUGUAAACCGCUUUCGCCUGUGACGAAGCGUGAGUGACGGUAAUGGGUAAAGAAGCACCGGCUAACUACGUG
rnacentral:rRNA from 1 species